CAUAUGGAUGAGUGCCUCCCGCAUCCAGCUGGUCGCCUCCCACCUCGGUCAGGGGCCCGGGGGCACGCCGCGCUACGAGGUGCGGCACACCUGGACGCUCGGCGGCUGAGCGCGGUGUGAAAGCCUGGUGCGGUGAGCAUCGACCCUACGGGAGGCAGCAGUGGGGAAUUUUGGACAAUGGGGGCAACCCUGAUCCAGCCAUGCCGCGUGUGUGAAGAAGGCCUUCGGGUUGUAAAGCACUUUCGGACGGAACGAAAUCGCGCGGGUUAACAGCCCGCGUGGAUGACGGUACCGUAAGAAGAAGCACCGGCUAACUACGUGCCAGCAGCCGCGGUAAUACGUAGGGUGCGAGCGUUAAUCGGAAUUACUGGGCGUAAAGUGUGCGCAGGUGGCCGCGCAAGUCGAGUGUGAAAUCCCCGGGCUUAACCUGGGAACUGCGCUUGUUACUGGCAGACUUGAGUGUGGCAGAGGGGGGUGGAAUUCCACGUGUAGCAGUGAAAUGCGUAGAGAUGUGGAGGAACACCGAUGGCGAAGGCAGCCCCCUGGGCUAACACUGACGCUGAUGCACGAAAGCGUGGGGAGCAAACAGGAUUAGAUACCCUGGUAGUCCACGCCCUAAACUAUGUCAAC
rnacentral:rRNA from 1 species